rnacentral:rRNA from 1 species
AGAGUUUGAUCCUGGCUCAGGAUGAACGCUGGCGGCGUGCCUAAUACAUGCAAGUCGAGCGAACGGACGAGAAGCUUGCUUCUCUGAUGUUAGCGGCGGACGGGUGAGUAACACGUGGAUAACCUACCUAUAAGACUGGGAUAACUUCGGGAAACCGGAGCUAAUACCGGAUAAUAUUUUGAACCGCAUGGUUCAAAAGUGAAAGACGGUCUUGCUGUCACUUAUAGAUGGAUCCGCGCUGCAUUAGCUAGUUGGUAAGGUAACGGCUUACCAAGGCAACGAUGCAUAGCCGACCUGAGAGGGUGAUCGGCCACACUGGAACUGAGACACGGUCCAGACUCCUACGGGAGGCAGCAGUAGGGAAUCUUCCGCAAUGGGCGAAAGCCUGACGGAGCAACGCCGCGUGAGUGAUGAAGGUCUUCGGAUCGUAAAACUCUGUUAUUAGGGAAGAACAUAUGUGUAAGUAACUGUGCACAUCUUGACGGUACCUAAUCAGAAAGCCACGGCUAACUACGUGCCAGCAGCCGCGGUAAUACGUAGGUGGCAAGCGUUAUCCGGAAUUAUUGGGCGUAAAGCGCGCGUAGGCGGUUUUUUAAGUCUGAUGUGAAAGCCCACGGCUCAACCGUGGAGGGUCAUUGGAAACUGGAAAACUUGAGUGCAGAAGAGGAAAGUGGAAUUCCAUGUGUAGCGGUGAAAUGCGCAGAGAUAUGGAGGAACACCAGUGGCGAAGGCGACUUUCUGGUCUGUAACUGACGCUGAUGUGCGAAAGCGUGGGGAUCAAACAGGAUUAGAUACCCUGGUAGUCCACGCCGUAAACGAUGAGUGCUAAGUGUUAGGGGGUUUCCGCCCCUUAGUGCUGCAGCUAACGCAUUAAGCACUCCGCCUGGGGAGUACGACCGCAAGGUUGAAACUCAAAGGAAUUGACGGGGACCCGCACAAGCGGUGGAGCAUGUGGUUUAAUUCGAAGCAACGCGAAGAACCUUACCAAAUCUUGACAUCCUUUGACAACUCUAGAGAUAGAGCUUUCCCCUUCGGGGGACAAAGUGACAGGUGGUGCAUGGUUGUCGUCAGCUCGUGUCGUGAGAUGUUGGGUUAAGUCCCGCAACGAGCGCAACCCUUAAGCUUAGUUGCCAUCAUUAAGUUGGGCACUCUAAGUUGACUGCCGGUGACAAACCGGAGGAAGGUGGGGAUGACGUCAAAUCAUCAUGCCCCUUAUGAUUUGGGCUACACACGUGCUACAAUGGACAAUACAAAGGGCAGCGAAACCGUGAGGUCAAGCAAAUCCCAUAAAGUUGUUCUCAGUUCGGAUUGUAGUCUGCAACUCGACUACAUGAAGCUGGAAUCGCUAGUAAUC